rnacentral:ncRNA from 1 species
AGCAAGGCCCCGGCAGGGCCCCGGACGAGGGAGCCGUACCCGGAGUGCGACAAGACGGCCGUG